CACGCGGCCAUAGGUCGCCGUGAGAGGGGGACGCUGGCUGUCUGCCUACUCUGCUUACGUGUUGCGAGGACAGGGGGAGGGCUCUAGGAAGCAGCUCUCCUGUCCUCCCGCGCGAUGCUGUGUGGAGCGUUGCCGCGAGUUACCAUGGCAACGCUCCACACUGCUUCCUAGCUGCCAGAAACAUACUUACCACCACUCUUAAAGGUAAGAGAAAGGGAGGGGGAGG